GAUGAACGCUGGCGGCAUGCCUAACACAUGCAAGUCGAUCGGUAAGGCUCUUCGGAGUACACGAGAGGCGGACGGCUGAGUAACGCGUAGGAACACACCCUGCAGUGACGGAUAAGACACCGAAAGGUGUUCUAAUACCGCAUACGGUCUUCGGAUUAAAGCAUUUAUGCGCUGAAGGAGUGGCCUGCGUCAUAUUAGAUAGUUGGUGAGGUAAUGGCUCACCAAGUCGAUGAUGUGUAGCUGGUCUGAGAGGAUGAUCAGCCAGACUGGAACUGAGACACGGUCCAGACUCCUACGGGAGGCAGCAGUGAGGAAUAUUUCACAAUGAGCGAAAGCUUGAUGGAGCAAUGCCGCGUGCAGGAUGAAGGCCCUCGGGUUGUAAACUGCUUUUAUAAGAGAAGAUUAUGACGGUAACUUAUGAAUAAGGGACGGCUAACUACGUG
rnacentral:rRNA from 1 species